rnacentral:misc_RNA from 1 species
CCAUACCAACGAACAAUAUUUGGAUGUCUAUCUGAUGCAAUGAGAUUCUGAAUUUCUUUAAAUGCCACAUCAUGAUGAGUUCGAACAAGGCGUUUCACAGCAACAGGUCGACCUUCAUAUAUACCUUCAAGGAUAAUGGUACCAUUGCUUCCCUUAGCAAUUUCUGUAUUUGAUACAAAUAACUUGCCAAUUCUAUGUCCAUCAGUGCCACUAUCAACAAGUUUAUUAAGGUCCAAG